GAAGUAGGACUCUUGUUUCAAGUCCAAUCAAUUAAUUCCCUUUGUUCCUUCUUCAACUUCUUAUCAAUCAAAUUGAUUUCUUGUGAUUCCUAAUCAUGAUUUCAACCAUCGGAUCGGUCAAUACUUCUAUUGUGUGUGACCCCAUAGGUUCUAUUCUGACUGGUAGUGGGAUAUAUUGUGAUCUCUAUCUCAAUAUCAUUGAAAACUCUUUUCAAUGGAUUGGAACGAUUCCAACUCAACUCAUUAGGGUUUAUCGAUCAUCAAGAUAAUCCCUAUGAGUCCCACCAUCCACCAGUGACACCUAGCAGCAUGUAGUGGCUACCCAGUAGAAUGGAAUGAUGAACCUCUAGGUGCAGUUAACAUGUGAUACAGUCCUACUAUCGUGGAUCCCUACAGGACGGAGGUCAUGGAUAACUCGUCAAACCCCAUCGUCUGUCAUAUGUCAAGAUUUAUUCGACUUGAGUUCGAUAGUGGAAAACUCUUUUUCCACUUUAUAUUACUACCCUG
rnacentral:lncRNA from 1 species